GACGAACGCUGGCGGCGUGCUUAACACAUGCAAGUCGAACGGAAAGGCCCUGCUUUUGUGGGGUGCUCGAGUGGCGAACGGGUGCGUAACACGUGAGUAACCUGCCCUUGACUUUGGGAUAACUUCAGGAAACUGGGGCUAAUACCGGAUAGGAGCUCCUGCUGUUUGGUGGGGGUUGGAAAGUUGCGGCGGGUGGGGAUGGACUCGCGGCUUGUCAGCUUGUUGGUGGGGUAGUGGCUUACCAAGGCAUUGACGGGCAGCCGGCCUGAGAGGGUGACCGGCCACAUUGGGACUGAGAUACGGCCCAGACUCCUACGGGAGGCAGCAGUGGGGAAUAUUGCACGAUGGGCGGAAGCCUGAUGCAGCAUCGCCGCGUGCGGGAUGACGGCCUUCGGGUUGUAAACCGCUUUCGCCUGUGACGAAGCGUGAGUGACGGUAAUGGGUAAAGAAGCACCGGCUAACUACGUG
rnacentral:rRNA from 1 species